GGAAGAGAGACUCGGCGGCAGGCUCGACUUCAGCGAGAGGAGCUUGAGUCCAAGCAGCGGUGUCCUGGCGUACGGCGGCAGCAGCAGCGGUAGCGAAUCGGCCGGCCUGCUUUCGGAGGUUGAAUCUAAGAUAGCUGGGCGUCAGGCGGCGGAGGAGAGACAUGGAAGAGGGAGAAGGGGGAAAGGGAGCAUGGGGAGGGGGAAGGGAGAAGGAGAGAGAAGAAUUAGGGAAGGAAAUGGAGACAGACAUGGAGAUGGGAGCUUUGU
rnacentral:misc_RNA from 1 species